rnacentral:rRNA from 1 species
AUGCAAGUCGAGCGAUCUUCUUCGGAAGGGAGCGGCGGACGGGUGAGUAACGCGUGGGUAACCUGCCCUGUACACACGGAUAACAUACCGAAAGGUAUGCUAAUACGGGAUAACAUAAGAAAGUCGCAUGGCUUUCUUAUCAAAGCUUUUGCGGUACAGGAUGGACCCGCGUCUGAUUAGCUAGUUGGUAAGGUAACGGCUUACCAAGGCGACGAUCAGUAGCCGACCUGAGAGGGUGAUCGGCCACAUUGGAACUGAGACACGGUCCAAACUCCUACGGGAGGCAGCAGUGGGGAAUAUUGCACAAUGGGCGAAAGCCUGAUGCAGCAACGCCGCGUGAGCGAUGAAGGCCUUCGGGUCGUAAAGCUCUGUCCUCAAGGAAGAUAAUGACGGUACUUGAGGAGGAAGCCCCGGCUAACUACGUGCCAGCAGCCGCGGUAAUACGUAGGGGGCUAGCGUUAUCCGGAAUUACUGGGCGUAAAGGGUGCGUAGGCGGUCUUUCAAGUCAGAAGUGAAAGGCUACGGCUCAACCGUAGUAAGCUUUUGAAACUGUAAGACUUGAGUGCAGGAGAGGAGAGUGGAAUUCCUAGUGUAGCGGUGAAAUGCGUAGAUAUUAGGAGGUACACCAGUUGCGAAGGCGGCUCUCUGGACUGUAACUG